UACGUAGGUGGCAAGCGUUAUCCGGAAUUAUUGGGCGUAAAGAGCUCGUAGGCGGUUUGUCGCGUCUGCCGUGAAAGUCCGGGGCUCAACUCCGGAUCUGCGGUGGGUACGGGCAGACUAGAGUGAUGUAGGGGAGACUGGAAUUCCUGGUGUAGCGGUGAAAUGCGCAGAUAUCAGGAGGAACACCGAUGGCGAAGGCAGGUCUCUGGGCAUUAACUGACGCUGAGGAGCGAAAGCGUGGGGAGCAAACAGG
rnacentral:rRNA from 1 species